AAAAUGAAUGCAGCAAUAUGAACCAAAGCUUUAAAAUGAGACGGGUGUACUGCGAGGAAUGUGUCUCACAUAAACCUACAAAGUCAGCACGGCGAUAGGAAAUCCUGUGCCUGCUCUUGAUCUUAUCACGCCGCACUCCACAUUCCAACCAGGCGAUGCAGUGCAGAUCUCGCUCUGCAAUCUGUCUGUCUCGAAGGGUAUGAUGGCACUUUUGACGCACAGAUGCACUGGCACGUGUUUGCUUUCAAGCAGUUUCGGGUGCCAUGAGCUGGGGAGCUUUGGAACGUAUUCACCAACAAAGACACUGGCCCACAGCCCAGCUGGAGAUCUAAGAGAGUGCAGAUGCAGAACUCAGGACACAGAUAUUUAAAAUGUAUGUCUUUUCGAUGCGCAGACGAUGCAGGUGAGCUAUGCUUAAUCCCUCUCAGCCCAUUUCAGGACAUUAAGUGCUGUUGGCAGUCUGUCAGCGUGCUGUUCUCCUGGCUUAAAAGCUUGGUCGGACUAAAAAAGAACCAAGUUAUGAUGUGCCGCAUGACCAUGAUUGCAGAUGAAAUAAGCGGGCACACUUGAAGGAGAGCAAUCGGAAAGUAUUUUGUGUUCACAGACGUUUCCGGAAAGUGACCCAUCGUUGUGCUGCAGCAUGCAGGACCUGUGUGUGGCAGAAAGCAUGCGCUUGAUAGGAGGCGGAGCGGGUUGCACAAUAGUGUUUGUGUCUAGUGUGAAGCUGACUGUCCCUCUUGCAAAUCACAUUGGCACAGUGAGUGUCUCCACGGGCAGCACAGUAGGCCAGUGGUUUACAGGUCUGGGUCGCAGUCAAGAGUCUCUGGGUUGGAAUCUCAGCACUUUGUGAUGUGAAGUUACAUUUUCUGGGUUUUUAUUUUUAUUUUGUUGAUUCCUCAUUUUUUUGUCUUACCUUUCCUUUUCGCCAUGAUGACGUUCUCUUUGAGAGGGACGGGUUUAGGAUUUUUUUUUUCUGGGGUUGCCAGAUAACGGCACAGACCGCAGAAGGAUAAACAUAAAAAUAAAGCAUGGAACAAAUGUCACGUUAUAUGUGUUUAUGAAAUAUAGUUCAUAACUAAGGAAUAUUUUAUUGCAAAAGCCAAAUUUUAUGAUAAAAUACAAAUAUACAUAGGUGAAAAAUAAAUCAAAAGACUCUCUGGUAUUGUUCAGAGGUGCCGGACCAAAUGUGGAGGUGGGCCGGAUCCGGCCCGCGGGCCGUAGUUUGGUGACCACUGGUCUACACUAAUUGGCUGGUAACCAGUAGAAAGUAUCCGCCACUCAAAGUCAGCUGGGAUGAAUUCCAUCUCACCUGUGCUCAUAAUGAGGAUGUGGACAUCCCAUAUUUGGAAUUUUGACGAAUACAGACGUCAUCCUUUUUUUUUUUUUAACUCAAAUCAACUUUACUUAUAAAGCACU